UAACCUGCCCAAGAGAUCGGGAUAACACCUGGAAACAGAUGCUAAUACCGGAUAACAACAGAUGAUGCCUAUCAACUGUUUAAAAGAUGGUUCUGCUAUCACUCUUGGAUGGACCUGCGGUGCAUUAGCUAGUUGGUAGGGUAACGGCCUACCAAGGCGAUGAUGCAUAGCCGAGUUGAGAGACUGAUCGGCAACAUUGGGACUGAGACACGGCCCAAACUCCUACGGGAGGCAGCAGCC
rnacentral:rRNA from 1 species